rnacentral:rRNA from 1 species
ACCUGGUUGAUCCUGCCAGUAAUAUAUGCUUGUCUCAAAGAUUAAGCCAUGCACAUGUAAGAUCGGCAUAGGUUUCUACUUCGGUAGUCGCUCAUUGUUAAUCUGUGAACGGCUCAUUAUAACAGUUAUACUCGUAGCCACUGGUACGUAGGCGCAAGCCGAUAAGGAUAACAUUGUCAAAUGCAGCGAUAAUACUUGAUAGACGGACCGGUUCACGCCGGUUGGCAUUAGCGUACUUAUCUCACGAUCGUGAGGAAACCGCGCUACUGUGACUCUUGGCUAACUGUGGUUCUCCAUAAGUGGCCGGAGCGUCGACCAUCAGACGUGUGCAAACACACACGGUUCUUUAAAUAGGGUUUUAAUAAGGCUCUGUUUUUUUAGCUGUGCUGGUGGCCAGGAAGACGAAUUUCUUAUCUAUCAGCUGAAGUUGUCUCAAUAGGGGUGAGACACGGCGAUUACGGAUUCGGAGAAUCAGUGUUUGAUUCCGGAGAGGGAGCCYUAAAAAUGGCUACUACAUCUAAGGACGGCAGCAGGCGCGAAAAUUGCCCAAUCUCAAUUCGAGGAGGCAGUGACAAGAAAUAACAGCUCUCCACCAUCUGGUGGGGAGGUACUAUUCAUAGUUUGGAAUGAUUUUAGAUUAAAAUUCUAUUAAAAAUGACUAGAGGAAGAGUCURGUGCCAGCACCCGCGAAACAGCUCCGCGGGGAAAGUGUGCGAGACACACUAGUGUAUCAGUACAGAUUUCGCAACAUCAACAAAUUGCAGGGAGUAUCUUAUGACUUUGCUACCGAGUCUAAUUAGCAAUGAUUAGAUGGCGUCAGAGAAAGAUGACAUGAAGGCGCAAAGUCUUGGUUAAUCCGCAGCCAAUUUCUCAAAGAGAAUGCAGUUCAUCGACUAAAUGGUGAUGGGGGAGCUGGGCUCUCAUAAGAUAUAGUCAGUUCCUGGUGCAAGCCAGAUGCAUGAAGAGGUGAUGCACCGUCACUAGCGCAUGCAUGCUUAUUAGCCUCGAAGGCUGAUAAGUGCAUACACGGUAAUUCCAGCUCUAGUAGCGUAUGUUAAUACUGUUGUAGUUAAAACGCUCGUAGUUGGCCUAAGGGCUAUGUGUUUUGUGUUCGGUGUCUGUUUAUCUCUAUGGGCUAACAUGUUAUAAUGUGAGCCUUGGAAGUAGACAUACUCCUUAAGUGACUAGUAAUCUCAUCGAAGUUUGCAGUCAUGGGCGCAUGUGCAUAGUCCGCUCUACGCCAAUGGUUCCAUUGGUGGUGGCAGUUUGAACAACUGUAAACAAAUCAGGGUGCUCAAAGCAGGCAUUGUUAGAGGCUUCUGUCUCGAUUUUGCUUGAAUGAUUUAGCAUGGGAUUGUCCUAUAGCUGUGUUUGGUUCCUGUCUUCGGGCAGGCUACCUUGCACUGGCGCUCGUAACGUGAGCAAGGGAGAGGGCUCUGGAACUAUAGUGCUAGAGGUGAAAUUUAGAUACCGCUAUAUGUCUAUCUGAUGCGAAGGCUGUUAUAGUCCAGUACAUUUCAAUCGAUCAGGAACGAAAGUUAGGGGAUCGAAGAUGAUUAGAUACCGUCGUAGUCCUAACUAUAAACGAUACCAACAAGAGAUUGGCAGUGAAACCAUUUAUGAUCCUUUCAGAAUCCAAGGGAAACCUCAAGUUUUUGGGUUCUGGGGGGAGUUAAUCGAUUAGCUCUCAAGAGUGUUAUUAACAACGCUAGUUUUUAUUGUCUGCAAUAAAUGCAACACCUUCAAAUUGAGGGGAAGUUUCAAGACCUUUUAUACCAAGUUGUAGCGCCAAUGCUAUAAUGACCGUGCUAAUGACCACGGGUAUGGUAAAAGCUAAAGGGAAAGGAACAAUCCUCAGCCACGCUCUCACAGAGAACGCAGUUCACAGACUAAAUGUUGGUGGGCCAAGUAUGCUUGGCAUAAGAUAUAGUCGGUCUUGUAUGCAUGUACAAGUAACAACGAUAGUCGCAAGGCCGAAACUUAAAGGAAUUGACGGAAAGGCACCACCAGGAGUGGAGUUUGCGGCUUUUCAACGAAUUAGGCCGUUAAUGCGCUAGCCAAAACUAGUGCAAGUGGCACGUGCUGCUACACUUUCAAAUUGCUCGGAACUCCUGCAACUUAAUAGCACCGCCCCAGCGCCGAAAGGUCUGCUAUUGGGCACCACGCUAAAAGUCGUGGGUAUGGUGACCUGUUAAAUGGGAUAAUGAGCAGCAAAAUCCUAGCGUCUUAGCACAAGUUAAGACUAUGGAUGCAGUUCACAGAUUAAACGGAAGUGGGCGUUCACAAGACGCUUAAGAUAYAUUCGGUCCCACCUGAGACGGUGCCCUAGAACCAAGCCCAGCAAGGCCCGAGUCUAGGGAGGCUAAGUCCAUUGACGGAAUAGCUGGGAUUCAAUGUAAUUCGACUCAACGCGGGAAAACUCACCAGGUCAGGACAAAGUAAUGAUUGACAGGUUGAUAGUCUUUUCUUGAUUCUUUGGAUGGUGGUGCAUGGCCGUUCUUAGUUCGUGGAGUGAUUUGUCUUGUUAAUUCAGUUAACGAACGAGACCUUAACCUACUAAAUAUGCUAUAAGCUGGGUCUUCUGAUUCAGUUCGUUUCUUCGAGUGCCUCGUAUGGGGUGCUCUCUGAAACUUAUAAACUGGGAUGUUAUCUUCUGAUAUCCUCUCUGCUUCUUAGAGGAACAAUACUUCGUUUUUUUAGAGUAAGGAAGUUUAAGGCAAUAACAGGUCUGUAAUGCCCCUAGAUGUCCUGGGCAGCACGCGUACUACACUGUUAAUACUAACAAGCUGUACAAAGUAACCACUCUUGUGGCUACUAGCCUUCUCCUUAAAGGAGUGGGGAAUCUUUUCAAACAUUAACGUGACAGGGAUAGCUGUUUGGAAAUCCAUCUUGAACGAGGAAUUCCUAGUAAUCGCGAUUCAUCAUAUCGCAUUGAUUACGUCCCUGCCUUUUGUACACACCGCCCGUCGCUCCUACCGAUGGAAUGAGCAGGUGAAUUUGACGGACAGGGCUUUUUUGUCUUGGAAAUUAACUGAACCUUUUUAUUUGUAGGAAGGAGAAGUCGUAACAAGGUCUUCGUAGGUGAACCUGCAGAAGGAUC